rnacentral:rRNA from 1 species
GCCAACACCACACCCGUGGGCCUUAAAGCAGCCAACAACCAAACGCGUCAAAGCGCACACCAAAAAAUAACCCACCACCACACCAACCCCCAACCACCAACUGAGCCACUCUACCCAACACCUAGAGGAGACACUGUUAAAACUAGUAAUACGAGCCCCCUCUCUCUUGCACACCCUUACACCGGCACGGACCAACCACCGAUAUUUAACAACCCACACCCAAACCCCAACCCACUGUCACCCCAACACAGGAGUGCAUGAAAAGAACUGGCAAAUUGCCGCAAAAGGAACUCGGCUAACCCUGCCCCACCUGUUUACCAAAAACAUGGCCUUUAGCGCCAACAAGUAUUGAAGGUCCCGCCUGCCCAGUGAACCACUUUAAACGGCCGCGGUACUCUAACCGUGCAAAGGUAGCGUAAUCACUUGCCUCCUAAUUAGGGGCUCGUAUGAAAGGCUAAAUGAGGGCCCAACUGUCUCCUGAGGCAAGCCAAUGAAACUGCUCUCUCAGUACAAAAGCUGAGAUAAACACAUAAGACGAGAAGACCCUGUGGAACUUUUUAACAACCCCCACUAAAUCCACCAACACGCCCAUAGUGGGAUACUUUCAGUUGGGGCGACUGCGGAGCACAACAAAACCUCCACGGACCAGGACAAAAUCCACCCAAGGCCUACAAGCCAAAACUACUAUAAACCAAUUGACCCAGCAAUGCUGACCAGCGAACCAAGCUACCCCAGGGAUAACAGCGCCAUCCCCCCUAAGAGUCCCUAUCGCCGGGGGGGUUUACGACCUCGAUGUUGGAUCAGGACGCCCAAGCGGUGUAGCCGCUGCUAAAGGUUCGUUUGUUCAACGACUAACGUCCUACGUGAUCUGAGU